AUUUCUUCUCGAGCAAGGGAGAUAAAGAUUAUGUUUCUAAGUAGCAAAUGUAAAGAAAUAAGGUAAAAUUGAUUCUCCGGCUUCUGUAGUUUCCCCCUUUGUAAAGGCUACAGGUGUACUUGUGAUUGCAUGUGACAGUUUUAUGGGUUUAUGUGGCUAAAUAUAUCUCAGUGCGCAGGAAAUAUUUUUCUAAGCAAGUUUUCUGGUGUCCAGAAUAAUGCACAAACCCGUCUGUAUUUUCCCACCGUCGAGAGGAGGUGGAGCCCACGAGUGCCUUUUUCAUUGCAGUAAUUACUAUUCAGCAUUCAGUAAUUUCUGUGCACAUGAAAAAGUACAGAGGAAGUCAGACUGAGAAAUUUUUGCUUUAAAGCUUUCUCUUUCUGACCACGAGCUUAAGUAGACAAAACACAUGGAAACGUUAGCCGUUGUUACAUAACUUUCUCGAUUCUCUAAUCUUUAUAGUUUUCUUUACAAGUCUGCCAUCCUGCAAACAUAAUGACAUUCAGUUAAUCUUCAGACCUCGUAUUUAUCUCAUGGCUGCGCGUGCUGAUGUCAUUGGCUAUCUUGGCUGUAUUUACUUUUCUUUUAACCUUGGGAGGGCAACGCUUAGGAUUGCAGAUGAAUUUAAUAACAAUAUCCCCCGUAAAUGGGAGGCGGUUGCUCUCAGUAAGGGAAGGCAGUGAGCUGCCUCCCCUGCCUGGGAAGUUCUUGAAGCUUGUUUGUUUUAUUUCCUUGUCGCACACGGCGUUAAGCCCAGCAUUGUGCUUUGCCCGUGUAGCAGCAACAGUGAUCCCGCACCACAAAAAGUGAUAAAACAAAGUGUAGCAGAGCACUGAUUCUGACUUCUGCACAGUUUUGCUCCUUAAGCGAAGGGCCGUCUCGCAAAGCCGGGUAGAACAGGUCAUUGCUGCAGUGCUCGGGCAGCCUCCUGAGCGUAUGUUCUCCUGGAUACGCGUUGCAGUAGUGCUGGUGACUAUCACGUGUAGGAUCCUUUUAAUAAUUAAUUAAAUGCCUACAGGAAAUGCCACAGUUUAUUUUAUUUAGGACUUUGAAAAACUCGUGCUACUUUGAGAUAGGAAAGGGAAGGAAAAUAUUAUGUUUUCCAGAGUAAUGGAGACUGUGUUUGAAGCUACUUUACUUCAUGCUGUGAGGACAGAGACAGAAAGGUAAACAAGCCAGCACUAUUUAUUUUCUUCUCCUCUCCGCUCUGCUGGGGACUUGAAGUGCAGGACGCGGCAUGGCGGAGCGCAGGCCCAUGGCCUGCAAAGCCUUUGGGCCAGGCUGGCAGCCCCAUGCCUUCCCCCCAGCAAAUGUGGGGUCUGCAAGGACAGGGCAACUUCCCCAGCCUGCCGCAUUGUGCCGUGCUGUGCUGUGCUGCGUUCCUUAAUUUCACUGAGGGAGAUCCCAUGAGGUAGCGGGUGCCAAGGGGCUCUCACUGAAAUGGUUGCACGUAGGUUUUGCAACAUACAGAUUUCAGCUGUCUGUGCGGUUGUUUCUAUUUGCCUGAUGCUUUUUUAGACAUAUUAAGGGGGAAAUUUAUGAAUAAAACCAACUUUUUGUGUAGCCUAUCCUUUUCAAAUGGCUUUCUGUUCUCACAAAACUCAGAAGUUACAGUAUUUCCUUUCAUAAGUAAUUCUUCAAGUAUGGUACACAGCGUAUAUAGAACAUUGAUCACUAUCUUUGAAAGCCAAGGAAUUUUAUUUUAUCCUUUGCCCACACUUCAAAAUAAUGCUAGCAUAGUCAAAAAGGUUACAUAGGUUACAUAGUAAAUAAAAACCCAUUAGUUAUUAGUAAUAAUCAAAAGAUGUUGCUUUCUUUCCCUUCUUUUUCUUUCCUCCAGCUCAUCUGUCAUCUUUCUAAGGUAAAACUGUUGAAUAAGGAAGGAGGGAAUGCAAUAAUGUAUUGCUAAAUAUACCACGUUAUAAGAAAAAACGACAACGACAAACAUUGGUAAAUCAGAGCUGGGUGACCGCUUUGAAAAUGGCAUUUCACUCCAGAGGUCUAACCACAGUAUUUAAUAACAGAUGCCAUGAUGAGGUCAGAUCACUGGUUAUUUUAUUGCAGCACCAUUUUAUUUAUUUACAUUAGUAAUGGGGGUGGAGAGGAGGGAUGAGGACAUGUGAAAACAGCCUUGAUGAUCAGAAUCUGCAUCAUUAAUAAAUUGAAAGAAUUUCUUAGUGCACUACAGUAGUCUGGCCCCAUCAUUAUAAAGAUGAGGCUGAGCUGAGGGCUGAGGACCGGUGGGUCUGUGAGCCCGGCUGACCGAGCGGAGUGCAGGAUGAGAACAGAACUGUCAGCUGAUGUACCUGUCAGGUCAGCCUGCUGGAUUCCUGGUUUGCUUUUCUUGCUCGUACCUGCUUGGCUCCAUGGGCCUGGGAGAAUGCCUUUUGACCCAAAAAUUAUUGUUUGUAGAUAAAGCUUUCGGUCUUCAAAUCUUAUUCCUCACAUUCAUUAUCCACUUUGCACGCUGUCCCCAAACAAACUGUAAGACACUGUAGUGCUCUGUUUUUUCAUUCCUGAUAGCAUAGGCUGUUGUGAUUAAGCAACCAUAAUACAAGAUGCCAAUAAGAAAUCUCUGUUAGAACUCCAUGAAAAUAACAUUAUUUUUGUUACUUUUCCUGAAGUUUUUUUCUCGUCCACUCCAACUAGUUGUAAAUGUGUGGUGCUUUUCGCUUCGGGGCUGUGCAUUGCAGCCUUCUGAUCUACUGCUUCUAUAAAUGUAGUGGGUAUUUCUUGCUUGCUUUGAUUAUAUUCCAAAAUUAAAAGUACAUGGAAUGUGCACUUAUUCUUUCAUAGUGGUUGUGAUUCUUCUUUGCCGUAAGUGGUUUCAACGUUAAUGCAAAUUAAUUUCAGUUUAUUUUUACAAAGAGAAUGAAAUGGAUGGUGAUGAACAACCAGCUUUAAUAGCAGAGAACCUUGUUUUCCUUGGGCUGCGGGAUGCCAGCACAGUUGUGACAGGCCUGUGGAGUGAUUUAUGUCCUACAAAAGAGCGAAAUAACAGUUUGACAUCUUCCUCUAGUAGGCUACGAGGAAAAUCCAAGCUUCACUGCAGUCGGUGAUAAAAUUCUGAUUUAUUUCAAUUGAGUCAUAAUAUGCCCCCUUAGAACUCUUCAUUUUUUUCCAGAAUGUGAUCUCUGUUGUUGAAGGAGCCGUGGCCAACUCGCAGGGUUUUGCCUGUAAUGCUGGGGAGGCCAAAGGUGUGUCUAUGGACUAAAGAGUAAACGAGGCACCCCUGAAGAUAAGUUUGGAGGGAUGAGGUGGAAUAUCACAGCCAUCAGGGCUCUUGACCCUCCAAUUGUCUGAAACGGAGGGCAGGGUCGUUCUGCAGUUGUGUUGCACUUUUUCCCCAAACUACUACAAGCUUCCAUAACAGACAAGCCACUAAAUAAAUUUUAGUCUCUUUCAUUUGACUCAUGCAGCUGUUCUUAUGUAGGUUUUAUUUGGACACAGGCUGCAUUCCUUUAUGUAUACUUGUGGAUAUGAAGCUUGUGUCCACAAGGUUUUGCUUCUUACAGCUCCUUACAGCUGACUAUCAGAAGCAAGUAGGUUUUUAUGACUUAUGUUUUCUUAAAUGCUUAAAGAUGACAGUUAAAUUUUCCUCUUCUGUUCUUGUUGGUUGCUGUAUUUCACUGAAACAAAUAGAAAUAUACAAAUGAAGUCUGAUAUAGACAUGAAAUUUGAAGUCAUUAGUAAUAGUUGUUCAUGAUCACAGAUCAGUGGUUAACUUAUACGUCUAUUGAGAACAUAUCCACUUAAGGUGUGCAGACUGCUGUUGAAAGUUAAACUUUUUAUCAAGUUUUAUUUUUAAUCUAAAACUUAAUAAGUGUUCACAAGACACUUCUAUGUGGCUCUGACAUCACUUAGUCUAUUAGUUUGGAUCCCUGAGCUCAAUAACAAUGGGCAUAGUUAGUGCUCUCAAUGUAUUGACAAGAGUUGAAUGUACAUCUAUGCUAAAAAAAGAAAAUGUACUUCUGCACGUUGGCAGUUGAUAGAAGUACAUGCACUCAAAUACUGCAUAUGCAAUCAACUUAGCAUGCACUUUUAAAGUACAUAUUAACACGAUUGUUCUUUAAAUAAUUUAGAUUAAAAAAAAAAAAGAAUUCAAACUCUUAUGCUGCUGCUCCAAUGUAAGUGGAGGAUUCUGCUGUAGGUGGGAUUUGGGAAGCCCCUGCUGAAGGAGCUACCCACCCACACAGAUACAGGGUGUGUUGCUGAAGCCAGACUGCUGCAUCCCAUGGCAGUGCCAACUGGGACUGCUCCUAUUACCAGAGCACUGCCUGGGAUCAGGGCUGAGCUCUGAACCUCAUAUGGGCUCCAGCUGCAUUGCUCCACUGGCAAAGGGCAACACCUAACUGUAGGAGGGCUGAGGUGAGAAGGGACCUCUGUGUCCAACUGGUCCAACACUGGCUCAAGCAGGGACACCCAGAGCAGGGGGCCCAGGCCCAUGUUCAGACACAAAGUCAAAUUCACCUCAUAGGCAGCUGUUUUUACAUCUAUGGCUAUUUGUGCAGCUGAGGACAAGAAUAUAUUUGAAUUGAAUAUGGAUGCAUUUGACUUUGGUCAGCUGUUAAUUUCAUAGGUUCUUAUACAUUGUGCAACUAAAUGCAUGCUUAUGAGAGCAUCUCAAUAAAUAUUUUAGAAAGAAGUGUGUGAGUACAUGGAUGUACCUUGUAGGAAUGCACAGAGUGAGUUAUUCACUAAUCAUGUUAACAUCAAAAUAUGUAUAACUACUUUAGGAAACGUUUUUAGUUACGCUUCCUGCAAAGCUGAUUUUUAAUGAAAUGAUUGGUAUUUAGCACCUUGGCAUUCAGGCCAAGAAUGACCUGAAGUUUCAUUGUGCUUCCUAGUAGCAAGUGGUGGGGUAGCAAACUCAAAGCAAACUCUACUGCUGCAGCUAAGUGCAAGUCAGAGCCAUGAAUUUAAUUUUUGAUUAGGCAUAAGAGGUUAUGCAUAGAUCUGGACUUCUUAAACUGCAGUGAAAAUUUCAGUAAGCUUAAGUAUUUUCAGUAAAGAAUGAACUCUGGGACUGAUGGAACAUGAUUUUGAUGACCAGAUUAGAGCCGUGAAUGGUGGGCUGCAGAAUAAGCAUCUCUUGCUGAAGCUCCAGCACAAGCUUGUGUUAUACGUAUCUGAUUGACAGCUCUUGAGUGAUGUAGCCAUGCAAGAGAUGCUAAGCUGAUCCCAGUGACUGGGAAGACUACUGUGUGAAGUCACCGAAUUUGAGGUUGAUAAGUGAUAGAACUCAGAUUUCAAUAUAGCGGGUUGGAUAAUUUUAUAUACUAUCCUGUACAACUGAUACAGAAAUGUCUCUGUCUCAGCUUCUGCUUUUCACUUUCUAUCAUUACAGAACACAUUUUUUUGAGCUUUUUAUUAAUGGAAUGUAUUUAUCUAAAGUAAACAGGCUGGUAUUUGACAGGUAUCUUGAGUUAAAUCCUAAUAUAGGCAUCCACGUGACACGGAGAUGCAUGAAUGCCUUUGUCUAUUGUGAUGAAGUUUUUCUCACCAUUAAGAUAGGCAUCAUGAAAAUCACACCAAACUGUAUAAGCUGCAGGUAGUGUAAGUAAUGCAUACGUGCACAUCAGUAGUAUUUGUGAGACUGCAAAAAUGUUCCUGGAUUUGAAUUUUCACACAGUGGUUUAAAUUUGUCGGAGAGCCAUAGUUUUAAUCUUUUCCUCUCCAUUUUUUCCCCCUUUGCUGCUUGAUUGUUUUUUAGGGGGCAAUGCUGGCACGGAAAUCUGAGUGGACAGAUAAGUUUUGAAACUGAGAUUGGCAGAAGGGAUUCAGUGGGAGUCUAAACAAGCUUGGCUAACUCCUGCAGUAGUGCCUUCAAGUUGAAAUGAAGGCAAUUUAAACAGAAGGUUUCCUAUAACAUUUUCUGUGUUGUUAGGUUUGCUUAAUUUAUCAGCUGUGGUAUUCACACAGAUUCAAAUUGUAGUAGAUUUAAGAUACUGUGCUUCCAAAACAGUUUGUUAAGUAAAAUUAUUAAUAGGUGUGAAGUAAAAGGAAAAAAAUACAUUAAACAAAUGUCCUCUGUAAGAAUUUUGUCCCUUCCUUUUUAAGUGAAUGUUCUUACAGUUGUAAUACUUCUUUUUUGCAGCCAUUUUUUGAUGAGCAUCAAAUGCAGCCUAGAAGAUUAAAUGGUUCUUCUAAAGGCUUAGGCUUUUUUGUUUGCUGUUUUGGUUUUUAUUUUCCUUAUUUGUCUUUGCUUUCCUUAUUUACUAACAAAAGGACGGAAGAGUGACUGACAUAUAUUACAAGUGAUGUUUUGGCAUUGUGAGUUUUGUUGUUUUUUAAUGUGAUGUCUUAAUGGAAACUACGGUAGCAUUUGGCUACCUUUCUUUUACUGUCGAGGAUCAGAAUCAGAAAUAGUUCUUGAUAAUGAGAGAGGAGUAGAAUCUCAAACUUGAAAUUAUGACGCAGAACCUUGAAUAGUUUUUUUCCAUAGCACCACAUCUGGUAGUACUGGUCAGAAAAGUGAAAACAGACCUUUUUGAAAGUAGAAAUGGGGCAAAAAUGGUGAUUGUUAGGUAAAAAGGAUAAUUUCUUCCUAUGAUAUUUUCGUGUGUUGUCUUAUUAAAUCCCAGUCUUGCUGUUCCUGAGUGUAUUAGAGGUGGCUGACAUAGGCUAAUGUGUAAGGAGCUCAGUGACUGGCAGUAUUAAGAGACCUCACCUAUGGGAAUGAAGAAGAUAGGAGCCAUCUUACAGUGCUGUCAGCCGGGAGGUUUUGGUGAGGUCUGAAGUGGAAGUGCAGGUUUCAGAAACCUGUGGUUUUGAGUAUCUGAGAAAAAAAAUUGUGUUAAUAUUUCAGAUUUAGGUGUAUUUUGAAGAAAGUCCUAUUAAAUACCAGCCUGUAAUACUGAACAUUAAUGUUAGCCAUUUAUUUGAUUGUUAGAGCAUGUGUUAAAGAGCUGCUGCUGCCCAUUUGAAGCCUAAUGUGUUUAUUAGAUGGUCUUUGCAGUGGCAUCUUGACGUGUCUUUUAGCUAAAAAAUUCAUGAGCAUUAUUGGCUUUCAGUCUGCAAAUGGAAUAUGCCUUCUUGUCACUAAUACACCACUCUAAAGCCAUUACAUAGAAGUAAGAGAAAAAAUAUUGUUGAGGAAGGAGCCUUCCACUUAAACAUUUGUUUAUAGUCUGCUGUGCUUUUCUGUAGACUGAGCAGAAAUACAAGUGGUAAGUGUCAGAGCCAGCGUUCAGUUCUCUUAUACAUUGGCCCAGUUGUGUUUUCUAAUAAAUUAUGUUCUAGCGUGUAGAGUUGAAGCACAAAGCAGCGUUUAGUAAAUAUUACUGUAAAUCUCACUUUAAUGUUGCCUCUAAUAGCCUCGCUUUCAAAUGAAUUUGUAUCUUUGAAGUGAUGAGUGCUAUUUUCAGAUAGAAAAGGCUACAGACAGAUAAACCAUAGGUGCAGAUCAGGUUUUAAUACAAGUGUCUAAGGAUAACCAUUGAGUAUUUCAACUUACUACUGCUACCUUCAUCGCAGAAACUGUCUUCUGUUUUCACUUUGUAGUAUGUGACUGGUGUAGAGCUACAAUGAUUGUAGGCAGUUUCAUCUACAGUGAAAGUUGAGGUGGAGUUUCGGGAAAACAAAAGGACGUACUUCUGGAUAAAUUACUUAGGAUUUUUAAUAUGAGGUUAACCUUGCCAACUUAGGUCCUGGCCAUCUUGCUUAUUUUGGCAGAAUGGACUUGUUUCUUUUGGGGUAUGUCCCAGUUCCAUGUGCUGAGUGAUUAUGGAUGUGUGUAAGAACCUGACUGUAGAACAUGUUGCUUGCUUAAGCCAAGCUAUGUAUGAAGAACAAUGGUUUAAUAUGUCUUUACCCUGUUUGCUCUGUUGAACUUUUUAGUGGUGGAUAUCUUACCUUAAUUUAAUUUUAGUAGACAAUGCAAUCUUUUUUUUUUUCCCCCUCCUUUUAUUUCCCUUGGUUUUCAUCUCUGUUUUUUUACUCAUUUCCAAAGCCACACGUCUCUGAAUUUGUCAGAACAGCAAUGCAAGGGACAGUCAGUGCCCAAGGAGUCCAAGCAUCCUCAGACACAUGCGGAGUUGUGCAGGCACAGGCGGGCUCCCUCGCCUGGUGGCAGUUCUUACACUUGCUCAGUGGCAAAUGCUGGGAAUCAAAGCAUAUUUCACACCACCCUCGUGGAUUGCUGCUGCUCACAAAUAAAAGGUUGUCCUUAGGCUACAGUGGCCACAGACUCUGGUCUAGGAUCUUAUCCUAUCCUUGACAGUGACUUCCUUUUCAGGCCUGUGAAAGUUGCUAGCAAGUGCUUACCAUUAUUGCCUUCUUCAAAGGAGCUGAAAAUUACAGCGUAUGCCAGUGUUAAGUAUUUUCAGAUUGAGGAAUGCACUGAAUGAAAAAGAGUGUAUAAGCAAGAAAAAAUGUGAAGAAUCACGAGUUGCAUGUGACUUCCAACUUUGCUGUGGCUUCUACCAAAAUUAGCGGUACACAGGGAGCAUCAGUAAUAUUGAAACUGAGACUGAAAGCUUCUAAUCAUGAGAACUUAACAGGAAAAAAGAAUAUAAUGGACGUAUGUUUCAGUUAGUAAUUAACCACAGAAAUAUGAGCUGUUUAUGUUGGUGAAUUGGGCAGUUGGAGAAAAUUUCAGCCAAAAUUUUCAUUGAGCUGUAAUUUCUUUGUCCAGGAAGCUGAGUAUUUCUUUGCUGUUUACUACUCAGCAAAACAGUAACUUGAAUAAGUUGCUUCUAUGUGUAGCAACUGUGUCUACACUAACUGUAUGUAUGCUGGCAGGGUAGCAUUAUGAUACUUCUACCUGAUUGCCUGCUAUAGGGUACGUUACCUUUUGUUUGCUACUUUUCAGAUUGAAAUAGCGGCUUUGAAGGUGUAAUCCUCAUUCAUUCUUUAACUGCAUUUGUUGGGCUUACAAUAAAUCUGUCAGUUUAACAGGCCCCAUUUGGAAGAUGGCCUGCACUGAUAAGAGAUAAAAAUGCACACAAUCAUCUUCUACAUUAACUCUGGAUGAUUAACUGGAUUCAUUGAUGCCGAGGAUCUGUGCUUGAAGGUUUACUCUAUAUAUCAUGCUCCUUGAUGGCAUUUAUUAAGACUAUUCUCUUGUAUAGUACCGUGUUUACUAUUGCUUCAUAAUCAGGUUGAAAAGUCUCUCUGUGUAUUCUAACUUAGAGCAGUUGCCGGUAGAGGAUGUGAAGGCGGAUGUGCUGCCACAAUGAGAGCAGAAACUCUUGUUUUGUUACUGAUAACAAGAAAAACAUGAAUUGAAACCUCUUUCUGGCUCUCUUUUCAAUCUCCCAACAUCUGUUGGAAACUGGAUAGGUCUCAAUGACUGUCAUUACUAACGUACACCGUCCAAGAGAUCGUUCAAUUAAUUUUCUGUGCUGUGAUUUACAUUUAACAAUUGGAAAGAUUAGACCGAAAUAUUUUUAAGUAUAAAUGCAAAGUGAGUAAUUACUUACCAGAGGUGUCCCAAACAGGACAUCUGUUUGAGCCUAGAUUUAGUUCUUAGGUAUUUUUAGUAAUAAUAAUGCUGUUUCUCUAAUUAUCUACUUCCUUGUAUAAAAAUGGUGCAGUGAACGUAUUUAUCUUUCCAUUGCCCUGUUGUUCCUCAUUGAUGCCCAGUGGAAUUGAAACUUGAGUGGUAUCUGAGUCAGCAUUAGAAGUUGAGCUCUUGGUUAUUGUUGCGAGGGUUUUUGAUAGCGCAAAUGGAAAUAUAUAUAUAUAUAUUUCAUCUACACGCAAAUACAUUUUCAGCUAUUUAUAUAUAUAUAGUUGAAAAAUCUGCUACUGCCAGUGAAGGCAAAAUAUUAAUUCCACAGUGAGAUAUCAGGUUUGUAUUUUGGAGUGCAGUUCAACUUCCAAACUUUUUAUACCGUAAAAACAAGAGCGCCUUAUCUUGCAUGACAGUUAAUUCUACAGGACAUUCAUUUUAAUUCCCCGUUGUACAACAGUUUCUUUGAAAUAAAUAUUGUGUCAAUUCAUUGUCUGACAUGCCAUCUUGUAAUUUUUUCGUUAACAGCAGUAUUUGUCCUGCUCUCUGUUGUCUAUUCAGAAAUUACUUCUGUUUUCGUUCUUACUAAUUCCCAGUUUGACUUAAUUCUUUUCCUAGUAAAUACCAGGCUAAACAAUCAUUACCCACUUUUUCUUGAUUUUUGCUGCAGUUUGUUUCGGAAGACGGAUGGUAGAGCUGAUAUUUCAUUUCAGUUUCUCCCGAAACACUAAAUGAAUUGAAUUGCUGUAUUUCUUUAUCUUUCUUCCUGGAAAUUCCUGCAAAGAUGUGUAAGAAGAUAAGCGAGAUCAAUGCUGCUUUCUAAUCUGAAGUAGUUGCCUAUAGGAGAAGUUUAUUGGAGUAAAACUUUGAGCCUCUCACUUGUCAUUCUGCUCUCAGUGGCUUCAGUUUUGAAUUUUCAUGUUUCCUAGAAAAAUUUAGUCUUCAGGUUUGGAAGCAGUAUUUUGUAGUCUGAGAAAGUUAUUCGGUGUGUUUCAGGGGAGACUGGUUAGGAGAACCUUGAAAGUUCCUGUAUCAUCCUGUUAAUAUCUAAAUUUGUACAGUCACAGGUUUAUUGCUAAUACUGAAGAACCAAGAAAGUUCGAGGAAGUGUAAAUUAAUUAAGAGGGCAGCACCUAGAAAACCACUAUAAGCAGUUUAGCUGAUCUUCACCCACAAAUGUUUAUUUUUAUGUUUAGAUCCUUAAAUUCUAAAUUCAUUAGAUUUUUACCAUUUUCACUUGAAAAAUUCCUAGAUGUCUGCUCUUGUAGUUCUGCUUGUCCCAAGAAGUACUCUUUUCUGAAAAAUGGGGCCUUAGUUUCUUGCUUUGCUUCACUGAAGUUACGGAGGUACCUGGACCUCCCAGAGGUCUUCAUCUGGUAGCACACAUAGAUCUGGAACAUGAAUUAGCUCACAAAAAAAACCCCAACCUUAAAUAGCUGAUUUUUGUCGUUGUUGUUUUAUGGUUGUUUUUUGUUUGUUUGUUUUUUGUUUCAAAACAAAUGAUGAAAUGGGGUAGAUUCUCACCUUUUUGGCUGUGCUCAACCUUCUAGAGUCAUUGCUGAGAAGGAAGAUGGGGUGGCUGCCCUCUCAGCCCAAGGGACUCAAACCUUAAUCCCUUGCUUCUUAAAGCAAUGUUCAAACUCCUUACCUAUGAGUUGAAUACAUGUUUAAAGAUUUCUACUGCACUGCGAGAGUUAAUUAAUUGACUUGGCUUCAUAAAUAUCCAGCUCCAGCAAGCUGAUAGCCUAUCACCUCAGGGGGGCUGUUCUGCAUGAUUAAAAAUAUAGGCUUGAAAUCCCUCUGCAAAGAGGGAACUGAAUCUCCAUCUCUGUUGCUGUUGGUAUUUAGCAUUAUGGAAGAGCACUGCUGCAGAUUUAUCCAUGUUUUUUAACAGGUGAUUCUUCCUCGUUUGUCCUAAUUCAGGAUAAUUCAGCAUUUUGGCUUUUAAAUCGCAAGAGAACAGUGGGAAUUUAUUUACUCCAGGCAGACUCUGAUCUCCCUAGGGAUCUAUACUCCUAGUAUAUGUUUGGGUUCACAGCCUUUUGAUUUUAGUGCUCUGUACUGGAUAGUGCUAAGUGAUUUUCAUUUUGGCUUGUGAGAUUUUUUUUUUUUACACUGCCGUAGUAUCAUCUAUCUGGCUCUCCAGUUUUCAAGGCACCUAGCUCAGGAUUUUGCAUCCUGCUCUGGAGCACAGACACCUAGCAUUCAGGAACUGUGGAGCUUAUAGAGAUCUGUGAGGUAUCGAAUGCAAUUUUUAGUGUAGACAUAAGGAGAGCAGAAGACACUGUAGUGGGUGGUAGAUUUCCAGAAAAACUUUGUGAUGAGUAAAAAGGAAAAGGUAACUCAUUCUAAGAACAGACUGACAGUGAUGCUGAGAAAAAGAUGUUUUGGCCCGUAAAUGCAAAUAAAACAAAUGAUAAUUAAAAAUAAUAAUAAUAAAUAAGUAAAAACUGCUUGGAAUGACCACCUGCAUUUAACAUGGGGAGAUGUUAAUUUCGUAAUAAUGGUACCACUUUUGUUCCCUUUAAAUACAGAAAGAUGGAAGUUCAGAUGUUUAUGGUGGGACAUUAAUUUUAACAUGUCCUCCAGAGGAUGAUACUGGGUAGGUAGGAAAUUCCUACAGAACAGCAUGGGCAUAAGUGGAAGAAGAAUUAAGCUGUAUAUUGGUGGAGCUACUGGCGAAACCUGGGGUCUAGCAAAAAUAAAGCUCCUUUUGAAGUAAGCCCAACAGAUUAGAUAGAAUAACUGUGGAUAUCUGUUCCUGUUCCGCUAGGGAGGAAAGGGGACUGAAGGGAGGUGUUCCUCCUAAAUGUGAUGGAAUGCUCAGCAGAUUUUUGUGAGUCUCCAUGCUUGCUUUUCUUUAGAAAAACACCCAACAGAUUAACAUUUCUCAGGUAAUAUUCGGGAAGCAUAAGAAAUGAAGGAAUUCCCCAACCCAAUUUUCUUCUGAAAUUUAGACCACAAUCUGAGACUUGCUCGGAGAUGAGAUGAUCUCUGGAAUGUACGGCUUUCAUCAUGCUGAUGAUUUUUUUUUUUCUCACGAUGGUGACCAAAAAAUUUAGUCUUUGAAGCAAAGCCAUCCUGAGAGUCUGGGACUGCGAGUUCCUCACAACUCUUCUGUAACUGUUGUCACAAUUUUCUUUACACAAUCGUACAAUAUCACGAGUUGAAAGGCACCCACAGUGAUCACUGAGUACAACUCCCGGCUCCACACAGCACCACCCAAAAAUCAGACCACAUAACUGAGACCGUUGUCCAAACGCUCCUUGAACUCUGGCAGCUCAGUGCCGUGACCACUGCCCUGGGGAGCCUGUUCCAUGCCCGAUCACACUCUCAUGUGGACAAUCUUUUCCUAACACCCAGCCACCUCCCCUGACACAGCUCUGUGCUAUUCCCUGGGGUUCUGUCGCUGUCACCAGAGUGCAGAGCUCAGCGCUGCCCCUCUGCUCCUCACCCCAGUGCUUGAGAUGCAGCCGCACAGCGCGGUGUAGAGCCAGACAGUGCCUCCCUCACUCAGUGGCAGUGCUGGGCCUGUUGCAUCUGAUGGUACGGGUGGCAUUCCUGGCUGACAGAGCACACUGCUGACUCAGAUUCAACAUGGCUUCAACAAGAACCUCCCCCAGAUCCCUUUCCGUGGGGCUGUUCUCCAGUAUCUCAUCCCCUGGUCUGUACAUACAGCCAGGGUUGCCCUGUCCAGGUACAGAAUUUGGCACUCACUCUUAAGAGUAUAUUUCCUCUUCCUUGGUUCUCUACGGUUGCAUACUCAUUCAAUUGCCUAUUUUCAAGGAAGUGCUUAGCUUUUUACCAACCAGACAAAUGUAUACAUCUAGUUUUGCAUUUAGAUAAGUAAGAUUGACAUGAGCGUCUGAUUAUAAAUCAGAUAAGAUUCAUGGUUGUCAAGGAGCAGUGAGUGUGUCACAAGUUACAUUGGAGGCUUCAGCAGAUGCUUUGCUCUCUGCAGCAAGGUCAGAUUUGGUGUGGUGCUGGGAAUGCCCUGUGAGGUGUAGGUUGACUAUUGUGGCAGGUGCUCUCUUGGAAAGCUCAGGUCUGCUCUGGAAAUAGAAUCAUAGAAUCACCAAGGUUGGAGAAGACCUCUAGGAUCAGCUAGUCCAACCGCCCACCUACCACCACAAUUGUCCACUAAACCAUACUCCUCAGUUGCUGCAGACCAGACCUUCUUGCUCUUCUUGAAGUAGGUUGUUCUCAACAGAUUGGUGGUAUAUGAAUACGUGGAUAUAUACUUAUAUACUAACAGGAUCUGGUACCAACCACGUACAAGGAGCUAUACAGUUCAGGGUUGAUCUAUUUUUUUCAUGAAAUCCAAUUGGUAUCUAGAAAAUCAGUGCCACUUUCUCCUCAAACUGUUCUGGUUUUUUGUUUGUUUUUGUUUUUUAAAUAAGUGAAUAGAACUAUAUCAGUAUAUAGUUACAACUAUGACUAUAUCUCUGCAGACCUGCCUAGAUGUCAGCCUUCAGACUGUGCCAUUAUAUUCAUUCAGCCUGCACCUUGGGAAAAUGAAGAUUUAUAGUAUGAACCAACACUUUUAAUACCAACAUCUAAAAAGAGAAAAUGAAAAAGAGAAGGAUACUGCAAUUC
rnacentral:lncRNA from 1 species